rnacentral:rRNA from 1 species
GACGUAGGAGGCGAGCGUUGUCCGGAUUCAUUGGGCGUAAAGAGCACGCAGGCGGUUUGGCAAGUCGGAUGUGAAAACCCGGAGCUCAACUCCGGACCUGCAUCCGAAACUGCCCGACUAGAGGUAGGUAGGGGAGAUCGGAAUUCCUGGUGUAGCGGUGAAAUGCGCAGAUAUCAGGAGGAACACCGGUGGCGAAGGCGGAUCUCUGGGCCUUACCUGACGCUCAGGUGCGAAAGCGUGGGGAGCAAACAGG